AUGGUGGUUGGCAGGAACAAGCACCUUACAGAAGGUGGCAAAAAGAGCCAAGAAAAAAGUGGUUGAUCCAUUUUCUAAGAAAGAUUGGUAUGAUGUGAAGGCCCCUACUAUGUUCAAUAGAAUAUUGGAAAAACACUAGUCACUGGGACUCAAGAAACCAAUUGCAUCCUAUGGCCACAAAGGUUGUGUGUUUGAAAUGAGUCUUGCUGAUCUGCAGAAUGAUGAAGUUGCAUUUAGCAAAUUCAAGCUGAUUACUGAAGAUGUUCAGGGCAAAAACUGCCUGACUAACUUCCAUGGCAUGGAUCUUACCUGUGACAAAAUGUGUUCUAUGGUUAAAAAAUGGCAGACUAUGACUGAAGCUCAUGUUGAUGUUAAGACUACUGAUGGUUAUUUACUUCAUCUGUUCUGUGUUGGCAUUUCUAAAAAAACACAACAAGAAAGGUGCAGAUGAAUGACUUGGAAAAAGUUGUCAAUAAAUUGAUUCCAGACAGCAUUGGAAAAGACAUAGAAAAGGCUUGCCAAUCUAUUUAUCCUCUCCAUGAUGUCUUCAUUAGAAAAGUAAAAAUGCUGAAGAAACCCAAGUUUGAAUUGGGAAAACUCAUGGAGCUUCAUGGUGAAGCAGUAGUUCUGGAAAAGCUACUGGGGAUGAGACAGAUGCUAAAGUGGAAUGAGCUGAUUGAUAUGAACCACCAGUCCAAGUAUCUGUCUAAAAUUCAGGCUUUUAAUAAUGACAAAUAAAGAAUCCUAUUUGUGA